AAUAAGUGUAGUUAUUGUUCAUGUCCAACGUUUGACCGUUCGUCUUAUUUAAAAAUUUUCUAUGAUUAAUAUUUUUAUUGUUAUCAGAUGAUAAAAUUUGAACAGUAUUUUAUGUGUGACUAAUUUUUUUAAUUUUUUAUAAUUUUUUUAAAUAAGAUGGACGGUCAAGGAACUCACAGCUGCAUUUAUU
rfam:Oryza meridionalis cultivar OR44 (W2112) chromosome 12, whole genome shotgun sequence.